GCCAAGGCUACACAGAGGAUCUUGUCUCAAAAACAAAACAAUUUUCUUUCUGGAAAACAACCAAUUUGGAUAACUGUGGUGCACUGGGAAGUCAAGCAGACUCUCUUGGUGCAUUCUGCAGCAGUUUUAGCAACCAAGGUAAAAACUGAGGGGAUCUUGGAGAUAAAGAUCAUGACAAAUUCAUUCCUGUGACCAAGCUGGGCCACAUGUUCAGGGUCAUGAAAGUAAAAUCCCUAUAGAAGAUCUACAUGUUCUCCAUGCCUCUUAAGGAACUCAUGGUUAUUGACUUUUUCCUGGAAGCAUCCUUAAAAAUGAGGUUUGAAAGAUCAUGCCAGUGCAGAAGCAGAGUUGGGCUGGCCAGGGGACCAGGUUUAAGGCUUUUGAUGCUACUGGUGAGUAUAACAGCCAAGUUGGUUUUGGUUAUAAGUGUUCCAAGAAUGGCAGAUAGUCACUGACAUCUGAGGAGCUACUGUCUUCUUUGUCAAGCUUUCCAUCAUCCCUGUGUGGAGAAACUACUUUGGAAACAAGACUGGGACACCCUACCCUAUACCCAUGCAGGAUGACAAGCUGCUGCGUCUGUGUGCUGAUCACUGUUCCCAAAGGCACUGAAUCUGUCUCUGCUUCUGUGCACAAGAUGCUGUUGCUGAUGGCCAGAAUUAACGAUGUUACGCAUCAGCUUCUAGGCCUUUGGCUAACAUCAAGUUUAAAAAUGUUUUAAAGAAAAAAAAAAUCAAACUUCAAAUUCUGUGACUUAAAAGUAUCUCAAGUGAACUAAGAAAGCACAAGAGCAUUGAGGUCCAGUGAAUGCUGUGGUAAUCCAAUCCCAUCCUGAUGUUUACAUCUCAUUAUAGACACUAAGGCUCAGCCA
rnacentral:lncRNA from 1 species